UUGUGUGCUAAAUUAACUGCCAGCAGUUCUCUUGGGAAUCACACAGAACACGUGAUGAUCUUCAGAAUUCUUUUUGGGUUCUUUUAGAGGUAGCUGAUUUCUCUUUUAGAGGUACACGUGAUAAUUCAAUUUUUAAGUUUGGCUUCUUGUUUUCUCCGUUGAAGAGCUUUGGCGAUUGAGUAAUGAGUAUGAACUUUACAAGCUGGUCCUCAUGCCAUACAUCACUAUGAGUUGAUAAAUAAUAUUGCAUAUUGAUUUGAGUAACCUAUGGCUUAGGAGGAAACUUUGAUACAGAAUUUGAUGGCUGCGGGUGCUACUGCAUUUAAUGUAUAGUAACCACUAGUCAAGGAGGUUGAAUUUGGAUAUACAUUCAUUUGGUCGGUGCACUCUAUUUUAAAUUAAUUUUGUUCGAUUCGAUACAUAUGAUAACCAAACUGAAUAUAUUUGGUCUUUCAAGGAAAAAAUAAUACUAAAUACAUUUUAAAAAUGAUUAAAUGCAUAUUUUUAAAAAAAAAUUGAGAUCUAGAACAAAAGAACGCAAAGAAAUAUAUUUUGCUAAUCUGAAUAACUAAUAAAAAUGGAAUCGCAUACAGUACAUAAAGAGAAAAAUACAAAAAUGAAGAUCAAAGAAAUUAAGAAAAAGAGAAGAAAAAUAAAAGUAACUGGAAAGUGUUAAGUGCUAACACAGUAAAGUAAAAAAAAAAAUCUAAAUAACUAAUAAAAAUGGAAUUGUACAUAGAGAGAAAAUACAAAAAUGAAGAUAAAAUAAAUUAAGGAACAAAGGAGUAGAAAAAAAAAGGUAAACGGGAAAGUGUAACAGAGUAAAGUAAAACUGGUUCUACAAUAUGGGCAAAAUGAGGAUUGAUCUUGAGAAUUGGGCUUGGGAUACUUUGACCAUGACACCUUUAACCAAUUUGUCACUUGGGAUCUCAUUAGUUAUAUAUCUAUCUUUUCAAUGUGAAAUAUACUAGUAAAAGUACCCGUUUAUACAUGAAGUUUUACCGGAUCCACAACAUAGAUCCGCUCCUGGAUACGUAACAAUAAUAACACACAUAGGAAAAAUAUUAUCUUGGAAAAAGUAAUAAUCUUACUCAUUUCCCAAUGUUUGAUACUUAAAUUAAGAAAAAUAAUUUUUCAAAAGUAUUCAUAAAUAAUUUAGAUACAAUAAACAUGAAGCCAUAAACUUUCGAACGAACACCCUUUCGAACCCACAAAAUUCAUAAACUUCUGAACCGCUAAAAUUUCGAACUUGUAAGCUCUAUAAUCUCUAAAUUCACAACUUCGAAAAUACGUAAACCACUGAAAGAAACCUUGAUACGUAACAAUAAUAACAAACACAUAGAGAGAGUUAUAUCUAUGUUUCAACAUUAUGUCUUAUUUGUGUCUUGCUAAUCUUGUUGCUUCCAGAAUACUUGCACAGCAUAUUAUUCUUUCAUCUUUCUGUAUUACACCAAUUAACUCAAAAAUAAUAGUAAUUCACAUUUUCUUUUAUUCGUAAACAAGCAAAAUUACGUGGAAUGGGACAUUUUGAAUGUUAAUAAGGUAUUGGGGAGGAAGACAUUGGAUAAAAGUUAAAGGAACAAUUAAACCUCGAAAGCUUUACUAGAAAAUUUGGGAGAGCAAGACAAUACUAAAGAACACUUAAAACUCACAAAGAAGAAAGUAGAGGAAAGGAAGAUUUCUAUUCAGCUUGACUUGCUUCAAAUGAC
rnacentral:lncRNA from 1 species